rnacentral:lncRNA from 1 species
AACAACUUGGUCCUAAGUCCCAAGCAAACAUACAAGGCCUGAGGCCUGACAAACGGUGAUGCAGCACUCUGAUAGAUUCUGUACGUUCAAUUGUUUCAAUGCUUCCUGUUGACUUAGAUAGAAUUUUUACAUGAGACUGGUGCCAUUGGAAAGUGUAUCUUCUCAUCUUUCUAAGCAUAUAUAGAACGUCCAAAAUGGACUCCGUAUGUGAUGGGGGUGACAAUUCUAAGGUGAAC